rnacentral:rRNA from 1 species
AUGCACAUAUUGUGAGCUUGAUGAGUAGGGCGGGACACGUGGUAUCCUGUCUGAAUAUGGGGGGACCAUCCUCCAAGGCUAAAUACUCCUGACUGACCGAUAGUGAACCAGUACCGUGAGGGAAAGGCGAAAAGAACCCCGGCGAGGGGAGUGAAAAAGAACCUGAAACCGUGUACGUACAAGCAGUGGGAGCACGCUUAGGCGUGUGACUGCGUACCUUUUGUAUAAUGGGUCAGCGACUUAUAUUCUGUAGCAAGGUUAACCGAAUAGGGGAGCCGAAGGGAAACCGAGUCUUAACUGGGCGUUAAGUUGCAGGGUAUAGACCCGAAACCCGGUGAUCUAGCCAUGGGCAGGUUGAAGGUUGGGUAACACUAACUGGAGGACCGAACCGACUAAUGUUGAAAAAUUAGCGGAUGACUUGUGGCUGGGGGUGAAAGGCCAAUCAAACCGGGAGAUAGCUGGUUCUCCCCGAAAGCUAUUUAGGUAGCGCCUCGUGAAUUCAUCUCCGGGGGUAGAGCACUGUUUCGGCAAGGGGGUCAUCCCGACUUACCAACCCGAUGCAAACUGCGAAUACCGGAGAAUGUUAUCACGGGAGACACACGGCGGGUGCUAACGUCCGUCGUGAAGAGGGAAACAACCCAGACCGCCAGCUAAGGUCCCAAAGUCAUGGUUAAGUGGGAAACGAUGUGGGAAGGCCCAGACAGCCAGGAUGUUGGCUUAGAAGCAGCCAUCAUUUAAAGAAAGCGUAAUAGCUCACUGGUCGAGUCGGCCUGCGCGGAAGAUGUAACGGGGCUAAACCAU